AUUGAACGCUGGCGGCAGGCCUAACACAUGCAAGUCGAACGAGUGGCGGACGGGUGAGUAAUGUCUGGGAAACUGCCUGAUGGAGGGGGAUAACUACUGGAAACGGUAGCUAAUACCGCAUACCAUCAGAUGUGCCCAGAUGGGAUUAGCUUGUUGGUGGGGUAACGGCUCACCAAGGCGACGAUCCCUAGCUGGUCUGAGAGGAUGACCGGCGAAGCGGGAGCUGAGCAAAAGUCCAGGCUCGUACGAGAGGCGCUAAUGGGGAAUGAUGCAGAAUGGGCGCAGACCUGCUGCAGGCAUGCCGCGUGUAUUAAGAGGUCCUUCGGGUUGUAGAGUACUUUCGGCGGGGAGGCGUUAGCCGCUGAAGAAGCACCGGCUAACUCCGUGCCAGCAGCCGCGGUAAUAC
rnacentral:rRNA from 1 species